rnacentral:lncRNA from 1 species
AUGAAAGCUUUAAAUAUCCAUAACGUGAUCGCGGACACUAACAGGUGUAAGCCACGAGAGUUCAAAGUGAAAGCACUAGUAAGCCAAUCAGCUGAGGGGAAGCAUCUCGUGUUUAAAAUGCCUGUGAUAUCCAAGAGAAGGUGUAUCAGAUUCCAUGCGGUGCAGUUUGGACCUAUAAGGGGAUGUUUAAAGAAUAAAAGCCUAGGUGCGGCAGUGCAGGGAUUUCUGAAAAGAUGAAAGGCGUGCGGUUAUCAAGGAUUUUUAUCCUUCCUGCUGCUUGAAAUGAGACUGACAAACAACUGUAUUCUAAAACUACACAGUGAUAAAUGAAUGUACAUAGACAGCCUAUAGAUUUCAAAUAACUUCUGCCAAACAAGAUUGAAACAAAAUUUAAAGUAAAUUCAUUCAGCUGUGCAUUUUUUUGUUGUUGUCAUUAUUAACAAAAUCACCAGCUUUAGCUCUCUUAGCUACUGUAUUUGAAAAUGUACUUGCUCCUGAAAAAGUUUAAAAUAGAUUUAAAGGUGUUAUUUGUAUAUUUGUUUAUAAGAAUUAAAGCUGAUAAUUAAUGUAAUAUUAUUUGAUCAUUUAAAAUACUGCCCCACCUAACUGACUAUGACAUUUGUAGGUUAUUUUCCCAGUAUUUACUGUAGUUCUGCUGCACAAUUAAAAUAUUGCUAUGUUUGAGCAUCCCAAUAAGUCCCACACAGGAAAGUUAGCUUAACUAGUGGCGUGAGUUUUGGGCGGGGCAAUCUGUGUACUCACCAAUGACUGACAACAGCCUUUUUGACAACAUUCACUAUUUUUGCAAUUUAGUUUUUUUGGCACUGUAGUGACAAAGAAAAUUACACACUUAAUAUUUAAAGAGAUUGUAUGUGUAUGUAUGUUUUUCUUUCUUUAAACAAUUUUGGACCCCAUUGACCUUUUGUGUGGGCAAAAACACCACAACAUUUUCCAAAACAUCAUCUGUUGUGUUCCAUGGAAGAGCAAAAGUCAUACAGGUUUGGAAAAGCAUGAAGGCAUGAGAUAAAUGAUGAUAGGAAAUUCAGGUUUGGGUGAACUACAGUAUCUUUUUUAAGCUCAAAUUUAAAAUCACAGGAUAUCACAAUUGCUUGUUCUUAGGCAAAUUGUGAGUGUGUCAAGAUAUAAAACUGUAUGAAUUUGUGUCAUAGCUGACGUGGUUAGCCAGCGGUGGCAACAGGAAAAAAAAGAAAAAAAAAAACUGGCAUGCAUCCUAACUUUACUGUGUUACCUAGGGAAUGUAGCAUUGUUUGUCUCAGGCACAGUUUUAUUAGAAUAAUUAUAUCUGUCAUGUCAGAAAAUGUUGUGGAAGAAAAAACCCCUCAGUGGAUUACAUGGGCCUUUCCUGGCGUGACCUGAACUGAGUUCAUUUAUUUAAUUCUCUCAUCUAGAUUGAUUGGCCUCAGUGCGCACAAACAAGUGAUGAGGAUUCAACUGGACAUUUGUGAAAUUCUGGGACAGAAAGCAUUUCUUGCGUGUCCGUGUACUCUGCAAGGGGAGAUGGGCCCUGCAGGCUUUGAAACAUGAGGCUUCAGAGAUAACAUUUCAUGUCCAAUAGUGCUGCCUAACCACGCAGCCCACAUGAAAUAAACCCUCACUCUCUGUUUUGGUCUUUCAUUUUGUCAGCAUUUUAUGUCGACAGCCUCUGAAAAUGGGCUGAAAAUAGAUCUAAAAAGUGAACAUUCCGGAUCUUUUCUGUCCUUACACUGAAAGCUCCUUUCAUUGGAUGCACAUUCCUUCACAUUCAAAGGUGUGUUUUUUAUUUAUAAACCAUGAAUUCUGAACAUAACACUUGAAACUUACAGUUUCUUGCCAGACUUGUUUUUCUAGAUAAAUUGCAAAAAAAAAAAAAAAAAAAAAAAAAAAAAGGGGUCAAAAAGACUCAAAUAAAAUGCAUAAGUCCCACACAGGAAAGUUAGCUUAACUAGUGGCGUGAGUUUUGGGCGGGGCAAUCUGUGUACUCACCAAUGACUGACAACAGCCUUUUUGACAACAUUCACUAUUUUUGCAAUUUAGUUUUUUUGGCACUGUAGUGACAAAGAAAAUUACACACUUAAUAUUUAAAGAGAUUGUAUGUGUAUGUAUGUUUUUCUUUCUUUAAACAAUUUUGGACCCCAUUGACCUUUUGUGUGGGCAAAAAACACCACAACAUUUUCCAAAACAUCAUCUGUUGUGUUCCAUGGAAGAGCAAAAGUCAUACAGGUUUGGAAAAGCAUGAAGGCAUGAGAUAAAUGAUGAUAGGAAAUUCGAGGUUUGGGUGAACUACAGUAUCUUUUUUCAUCUGUUGUGUUCCAUGGAAGAGCAAAAGUCAUACAGGUUUGGAAAAGCAUGAAGGCAUGAGAUAAAUGAUGAUAGGAAAUUCAGGUUUGGGUGAACUACAGUAUCUUUUUAAGCUCAAAUUUAAAAUCACAGGAUAUCACAAUUGCUUGUUCUUAGGCAAAUUGUGAGUGUGUCAAGAUAUAAAACUGUAUGAAUUUGUGUCAUAGCUGACGUGGUUAGCCAGCGGUGGCAACAGGAAAAAAGAAAAAACUGGCAUGCAUCCUAACUUUACUGUGUUACCUAGGGAAUGUAGCAUUGUUUGUCUCAGGCACAGUUUUAUUAGAAUAAUUAUAUCUGUCAUGUCAGAAAAUGUUGUGGAAGAAAAAAACCCUCAGUGGAUUACAUGGGCCUUUCCUGGCGUGACCUGAACUGAGUUCAUUUAUUUAAUUCUCUCAUCUAGAUUGAUUGGCCUCAGUGCGCACAAACAAGUGAUGAGGAUUCAACUGGACAUUUGUGAAAUUCUGGGACAGAAAGCAUUUCUUGCGUGUCCGUGUACUCGGCAAGGGGAGAUGGGCCCUGCAGGCUUUGAAACAUGAGGCUUCAGAGAUAACAUUUCAUGUCCAAUAGUGCUGCCUAACCACGCAGCCCACAUGAAAUAAACCCUCACUCUCUGUUUUGGCUUUCAUUUUGCAGCAUUUUAUGUCGACAGCCUCUUAGAAAAUGGGCUGAAAAUAGAUACUAAAAAGUGAACAUUCCGGAUCUUUCUGUCCUUACACUGAAAAGCUCCUUUCAUUGGAUGCACAUUCCUUCACAUUCAAAGGUGUGUUUUUUAUUUAUGUUUUUCUAGUAUAAAUUAGCAAAAAAAANAAAAAAAAAAAAAAAAGGGUAACAAAAAGACUCAAAUAAAUGCAGUUGGAGCAGUUGGGUGAAGACAGAUAUGCAAUGAGUUACAAAAAACAAAACCAAAUUUGGAUUCAAAAAACUAUCUAUUUUUUAAAGGUUACAUGAAAUAAGAGAUUUAAAAAAAAUUAUAAUUAAAACAACCAAAUCAAACAGUCAACUUUUCUCUUAAAUUGCUAUUAUGAUAGAAUAAUUUAUCUUUCUAUUAAAUUUGAAAAUGUAAAAAUAGCUGCAUUUUUCUCCAGCAUUCUUAGAUUUUUGGAAUCCUCUUCAUCUAAUAAGAUGAGAAACAAGCUGGCUUAGUACCACUAUAAAACAAGCAAGUUUAAAUGUUCAUUUAUAUUGCACCUCUUUUUCACCAAUACAUUUGUUAUUUUAUUAGAAUUUAUUAUCAAUUUGUAGUAUGUAAAAUUGCCAUUGGAUUAUUUCCACUUUAUUUUGUAGGUCUUGUGGAAAAUGUACUUACUUUGUAGACUUGCAAAUAGUUUUAUUAGUAUCAUUUUAUUAUGCUAAGCUUAAGGUAAAACCAGGUGUUUUGUUCCGAUUUGUUUUUCCACAGAUCAAAUGGAAAAAUGCCAUUCUCUUGUAACAACCUAUAAAUAUAUCUCCAAGUUUUUUUUGCCAGAUCAAGCCCUAAAAUGUGGUUUUAUUGCAGAAUCUUGUUGUUGUGAGACAUAGCUUCUAGUUUAUGUUUCAGUUAAUAAUAGUUCUGUGCACACAGCUGUGACACAAAUUAGCACUUUGGGCAAAAGAUCAGUUGGCUCAGUUUCCGUAAGCACCAGUGUAUCGCCAGGGCAUGAGAGGCAAACACACACACACACACACACACACACACACACACACACACACACACACACACACCACACACACACACACACACACACACACACACACACACACACACACACACACAGAGAGAGAGACACGUGUACAAUUUUUAAGGCUGGGCGUGCAUGUUUAUGACUACGUAUUGGGAGACAGAUCUCUU